ensembl:lncRNA
AAACAUCAUUAUUCUUUACCAGAGUGGAAGCUCUCUUGAUUUCUUCAUGUCUCAACAACUCACAAGGAAACAACCCCUUUCCCAAGAAUUACUGUAAAUGUUACAGUGCCAGGAUCCCUCAGAUAAUCAUGCAGCAGACAGUCUUCCAACUCCUGAGAAAGCAAGCAGGCUCUGAAUUGGGUAUUUGCAUUGUUCUCAGUUUUGAUUUGUGCAGGAGUUCACACAGAGGUAAUUUUGACAGUUGAGCUGAAGGCAACUUUAUUCCUGUUAAAAUUUUGUCUCAAUGCAGCCUUGCUUCCUUGGAAUCAGACAAUGAUAAUGGGCUACGGUUGUUUAUCAGAACUCUGACCAUCCCAUUUCAAGGCUUGUAUAAACUGAGAAAGUUGCAUGAGCAGAGGUCCAAUAUCACUGAUUACUACUUGGUAGAAAUCAGAUGGAAAGAUAUUUGCAAUAGCUAAGCAGAGAAGCAAGGAGGGUCCCAGAGUAUCUAUUUGUGUCAAAAGUAAAUAAGUAUCUGUACUUGCCAGCUGUUUCCCUUGCACCUUUCGAUGUUACUGAAGUUUGGACAGUAAUCUGUAUUCUGUUCCAUUUAUUAUUCAAGCUUCACAUCACAGUGUUUCAACACUUUCCAUAUGCAUAGAGAACAGCAUGAUUACGAGAUGUCAGAUGCAGUUUUCACCUUCUAUCAUCCUCUCGCUGAAUAUUGGCCCUCAGGCUGCACAGGCAGGCUGAGACUGCCCCUUGACUUACUUGGCCAAAAUAGUGUCUUGCUUUUUGCUUAGUGAUUAGAGCAGAAGGCAAAUUUGUGAGAGUCUCAAGUUCUAUUAUUUAUCUGAACUAUUUGAACUAUUUAUUCAGGAAAUAAAUUGAGAGAAAACAACUGGAAUUUAAUAUUGAAUAGUUUCAUAUGAUCAAAUGGGUAGCAUAGUUAUCUCUGCUGUGAAAAAAAUGGAGAGAUUUUGAACCUGUGUGUCUCCAAUUCAGAGGAAACUUCAUGCCAUAUUAUUUUCUGUUUGGGGCUGGUUUUCUGGUUUUCAAAGGAAAAAAAAAAAAAAGAGCAAAAAUUCCUGAGCUUGUCACAGGAGAGAAUACUUUUUUUAAAAUCACAUAUUAUGAGAUUCAGGACUCAUGGAGACAUGAAAUUACUACCUGGGGCCAUUAAUUGGACAAAUGGAAUAUCGCUCUAUUUCUUAAUAUCUUAAUCAUUCAGUCUAGCUUUCUGUGGAGACAACUUGGUGCUAGUAUACACUGAUGGACUUCUCAGAUGCUUCACUUGGAAAGUGUAACGUGAAAAAAAAAAUUAAAUCAUCUUUGAUAUUACUUUCCAUGAAGGAAAGUUUACUGCUACAUGCAGUGGAAAAGUCCAGAGGUAAGAUCCAAGAGUUGAACAAAAACGCUGCCCUUCUGUGACACAAUCAGAAUUAAAGAAUCUAUUAAAUAAGAACUGUAUGUAUUUAGUAAUCCAUUGGUUCAUUCCGUCUUUGGACAAAGAAACAUCCAAGACCAGGCAUCUGAUGAUCUCCCUGGGAACCACUGAGGAUCACAGGCCAGCACUGGGUUACUCUUCUGCUAACAGCAUCUCCACACAGACUUAGUGGAGACAUCCAGUCUGUGAUGAAUACAGCCUAGGGAAAUACAGGCCUAGAACUGUCUACUGACUUAUUAUUAAUACAUUGGAAUAGUCUGGACCUGUGACCUCUUUACUGAAUCUUCCCCCCUCCCUCCCACAACUUUUUCCUGCCUGUGCGCAUGUCAGGAGGACUUCUGGACUUUGCAUGUUCACAAGCACAGCCACAGCAUCUCUCUUCACACUCCUCUUGUUACCUGUGCCCCAGACUCCCUUUCCCACAGAGAAAGCACCCUUUGACUGGGCAGAGCCUCCAGGCAAAACCAGCUUUUGUGUGCCCAACAUGCAAACACCAUGUCCCAGAAUGGAUCAGAUGUGAUUUCAUCUGGUAGUCCCACUGUGUGCAGCUCAAUAACAAACCAAAAAUGCAAUACACAGCAGGGGGAAGAAAGAAAGGAAAAAAAAAAAAAAAAAAAAAAAAAAAAAA